ACGAACGCUGGCGGCGUGCCUAACACAUGCCAGUCGAACGAGAAAGGGGCUUCGGCUCCGAGUAAAGUGGCGCACGGGUGAGUAACACGUGGGUAACCUGCCUCUAAGAUUGGGAUAACUCGUCGAAAGAUGAGCUAAUACCGAAUAAGACCACAGUUCCCGCGGGAACAGGGGUCAAAGGUAGCCUCUGCUUGCAAGCUAUCACUUAGAGAUGGGCCUGCGCACCAUUAGCUAGUUGGUAGGGUAACGGCCUACCAAGGCAAAGAUGGUUAGCUGGUCUGGGAGGAUGAUCAGCCACACUGGGACUGGGACACGGUCCAGACUCCUACGGGAGGCAGCAGUGGGGAAUAUUGCGCAAUGGGCGAAAGCUUGACGCAGCAACGCCGCGUGAGUGAUGAAGGCCUUCGGGUCGUAAAGCUCUGUCGGGAGGAACGAAUGCUCCUGAGGUUAACAGCCUCGGGAGGUGACGGUACCUUCAAAGGAAGCACCGGCUAACUCUGUG
rnacentral:rRNA from 1 species